CCUAAGGUAGCGAAAUUCCUUGUCGGGUAAGUUCCGACCCGCACGAAAGGCGUAACGAUUUGAGUACUGUCUCAACGAUAGACUCGGUGAAAUUAAGAUACCUGUGAAGAAGCAGGUUACCCGCGACAGGACGGAAAGACCCCAUGGAGCUUUACUGUAGCUUGAUAUUGGGUGUUUACAUAACUUGUACAGGAUAGGUAGGAGCCAUAGAAGCCGGGACGCUAGUCUCGGUGGAGGCGUCAGUGGGAUACUACCCUUGUUAUGUGAACACUCUAACCCUGCGCACUGAUCGUGCGCGGAGACAGUGUCUGGUUGGCAGUUUGACUGGGGCGGUCGCCUCCUAAACAGUAACGGAGGCGCUCAAAGGUUUGCUUAGAAUGGUUGGAAAUCAUUCCUAAAGUGUAAAGGCAAAAGCAAGCUUGACUGCGAGACAAACAGGUCGAGCAGGGACGAAAGUCGGACUUAGUGAUCCGGUGGUACCAUAUGGAAGGGCCAUCGCUCAACGGAUAAAAGCUACCCUGGGGAUAACAGGCUUAUCUCCCCCAAGAGUUCACAUCGACGGGGAGGUUUGGCACCUCGAUGUCGGCUCAUCGCAUCCUGGGGCUGUAGUUGGUCCCAAGGGUUGGGCUGUUCGCCCAUUAAAGCGGUACGCGAGCUGGGUUCAGAACGUCGUGAGACAGUUCGGUCCCUAUCCGUCGCGGGCGCAGGAAAUUUGAGAGGAGCUGUCCCUAGUACGAGAGGACCGGGAUGGACAUACCGCUGGUGUAUCAGUUGCGCCGCCAGGCGCAUUGCUGAGUAGCUAUGUAUGGAUGAGAUAAACGCUGAAAGCAUCUAAGUGUGAAACUCGCCUCAAGAUGAGAUUUCCCAUUCCUAUAUGGAAGUAAGACUCCUGAAAGAUGAUCAGGUAGAUAGGUUAGAAGUGGAAGCGUAGUGAUACGUGAAGCGGACUAAUACUAAUCAGUCGAGGACUUAACCAA
rnacentral:rRNA from 1 species